UUACGACCAUAUCAUGUUGAAACUCCGGUUUCUGUACGAUCACCAAAGUUAAGCAACGUAGAGCCUGUUCAUUACCUAAAUGGGUGACGUCUUGGGAAUACUAGGUACUG